UAGUUUUAUUUUUAGCUCAGUUGUUUAGCCCGUAUUGUGUUUACCAUGUCUGAAUUCAGGUUUCAGUUGCUUAGAAUAUCAGUUUCUCAUUAACAUCUUGUGUACAUUCACUCAAUCUAUUUAACACGUAACUUUAAGUUACAAUCUUUUAUAAAUUAUUCAGAUUAGCUGUAUUCUUAGUUGUAUGAAGAGUUUUAUAGAUAAACUAGCUGUAUAUGUAUUUCUCAGUUAUGUUAUGAAAUUUCAAUAGUCUUCCUUCUUAUUUUCAGGAGGUUUCUGUAAAGACAAAAAGAGGGAGGGCAAAAAAAGAAGCAAAUUUAUAUGUAGAGGCUUAAAGGUUAGAAUGUGGAGUUAUUUAGGGCUUGAUCCUGCAAAGUGCUGAACACUCUGGCCCUGACAUUUUAAGCACUGGAAUAGUCCUGUUGGAGCAAUGAGAUACCUUUACAAAUCUGAGUAAUGUAGGUGUUGCUGUACUCAGCAUUGCAAUGCCUAAGUCUCAUUUUUAGAAGUGAUUUAGGGCACAUCCACACUGCACAAAAAAACCCCCCCAAAAUGUAGCAGUGAGUCUCAGACCUGAGUCAACUGAUUUUGGGCUUGUGCUAUGGGGCUGACAAUAACAGUGUUGGAGCCUGGGCUCUGAGAUCCACCCCAGUCACUGAGUCAGUUGAUUCUAGCUCUGAGACUUGCUGCUGCAGGAUGCCUCCCCCUCAGCAGUAAUGAACCCUAAGUCACUUUUGAAAAUGAAAUUAGGCUCAUAAAUCAGUUAGGCAUUGCAAUGCUGAGCACAGGAAUGCCUAAAUAGCUUUAAAAAUCUGGGCUUUAGUGCUUUGUGUCAUAAGGACCAGAACGUUUAAGUAUCUUGCAGGACCAAGCCCUAAGGGAGAAAAGACUCUUAAACUAGCACUUUGUGCAAAGUGCUAUUUAAAUACUCUCUCUGAACCAUCUUGUAAGAUAGGUAACAUAGUAUUUUCUCAGUUGUCUGGAAGGAGAAACUGAGACAGAAAGGCUAGUGACUUUCUUGAGGGCACUUAUAGCGUUCAUGUUAGGUGCUGGGACUAUAACUCUAGUUUGCCAUCCCCCACUUCUAUGCUCAGAUGCAUUUCUCUUUGGCAUAGCUAUUCUUAUUUUCAAUUAAAAGAUAAAAGAUUAAAGUACUCUGCAAAAUCUGAUCACAAAUAAUUUGGCUGUAUUAACACUUGUAUAGUACAAAAUAACUGAGUGAGCACUCGUGUUUAUCUAAUGGAUUAACUGUCCUAAAAUGCCUUGAGGACAAAGUAAAAACAAUAUUCUGAUUUUUGUAAUAUAACAAGAUUUAAAAGGACAUUGAUAAAUUUAUGAAAACUAAAAUAUUUUAAAAAUCUUACUUUUUCCAUUGAUGUUGCUUUUAGUGCUUCAUUCCUCUCGGACAAGGAAAACAGACUAGUUACUUCCAUUUUCUGGUGAAGAUUACCAGCUGAUUAAAUGAAUGUCACAGUCACUUGUUUUGUUACAUACUUUUUAAGUUAGGUUUUUUUAAUCAGCUCUUACCAUUGUCCAAAGGAGGACGUUUGUGACCACUCUUAUCUGUAGGAUUGUGGAUGUUUACUAGAAUUUAUGUUCCUUUGGAGUAGACUAGUUUGCUUUUCUGGUUUUCAUGCAUUAGCACAUGUUUUGGUUACAAGCUGUUAAGAAAAAUAUUUCAACUUUAAACAGAAAUGUUUUCAUUUUUAAAUCAAGUUUUUGAAAUGGUUGUGAAAACACUUUUUAGUAUUAGAUUUUUGUGAAACAUUGGAGCUAAACAACCUAAUAACAUUCUUUAAAAUACUUCAUUUGUAAGCUUCCAUUUAUAAGGUCUCUUUAGGCACUUAUCAGUUAAUUUUUUUUUUCUUUUCUAAAUCUCACUUGGUUUCUCUCUCUGGUCACAUACGGCCCAACCAUUC